rnacentral:rRNA from 1 species
CCAGCUCCUACGGGAGGCAGCAGUGGGGAAUAUUGCACAAUGGGGGGAACCCUGAUGCAGCGACGCCGCGUGGGUGAAGGAGUAUUUCGGUAUGUAAAGCCCUAUCAGCAGGGAAGAACAAUGACGGUACCUGACUAAGAAGCACCGGCUAAAUACGUGCCAGCAGCCGCGGUAAUACGUAUGGUGCAAGCGUUAUCCGGAUUUACUGGGUGUAAAGGGAGCGCGGGCGGCGCGUUAAGCCUGGUGUGAAAGCCCGCGGCCCAACCGCGGGACUGCAUUGGGAACUGGCGCGCUGGAGUGCAGGAGGGGCAGGCGGAAUUCCUGGUGUAGCGGUGAAAUGCGUAGAUAUCAGGAGGAACACCGGUGGCGAAGGCGGCCUGCUGGACUGCGACUGACGUUGAGGCCCGAAAGCGUGGGGAGCAAACAGGAUUAGAUACCCGAGUA